CUUGCUCUUAUGAAGUUAGCGGCGGACGGGUGAGUAACACGUGGGUAACCUGCCCAUAAGACUGGGAUAACUCCGGGAAACCGGGGCUAAUACCGGAUAAUAUUUUGAACUGCAUGGUUCGAAAUUGAAAGGCGGCUUCGGCUGUCACUUAUGGAUGGACCCGCGUCGCAUUAGCUAGUUGGUGAGGUAACGGCUCACCAAGGCAACGAUGCGUAGCCGACCUGAGAGGGUGAUCGGCCACACUGGGACUGAGACACGGCCCAGACUCCUACGGGAGGCAGCAGUAGGGAAUCUUCCGCAAUGGACGAAAGUCUGACGGAGCAACGCCGCGUGAGUGAUGAAGGCUUUCGGGUCGUAAAACUCUGUUGUUAGGGAAGAACAAGUGCUAGUUGAAUAAGCUGGCACCUUGACGGUACCUAACCAGAAAGCCACGGCUAACUACGUGCCAGCAGCCGCGGUAAUACGUAGGUGGCAAGCGUUAUCCGGAAUUAUUGGGCGUAAAGCGCGCGCAGGUGGUUUCUUAAGUCUGAUGUGAAAGCCCACGGCUCAACCGUGGAGGGUCAUUGGAAACUGGGAGACUUGAGUGCAGAAGAGGAGAGUGGAAUUCCAUGUGUACCGGUGAAAUGCGUAGAGAUAUGGAGGAACACC
rnacentral:rRNA from 1 species